rnacentral:rRNA from 1 species
CACGUAGGGACCAAGCGUUGUCCGGAUUCAUUGGGCGUAAAGAGCUCGUAGGCGGUUCGAUAAGUCGGGUGUGAAACCUCCAGGCUCAACCUGGAGACGCCACCCGAUACUGUCGUGACUAGAGUCCAGUAGGGGAGCGUGGAAUUCCUGGUGUAGCGGUGAAAUGCGCAGAUAUCAGGAGGAACACCAGCGGCGAAGGCGGAUCUCUGGGCCUGUCCUGACGCUGAGGCGCGAAAGCUAGGGGAGCGAACAGG